rnacentral:lncRNA from 1 species
AAAUCAAGUUUAUGUUCCCAAACUAGCAUUCAAGGUCAAAAGUCACAAAAAUAGCACUUAAUGUUUUAUCAAAAAUCACAAACUUAGGGUUUAGAGUUAAAGGGUGAGGUUUAGGAUUUAGGGUUUAGGGUUUAGAGUCUAAGGUUUAGGGUUUAGAUUUUAGGGUUUAGGGUUUAGGGUUUAGGGUUUAAAGUUUAGGGUUUAGGGUUUAGAGUUUAGGGUUUAGGGUUUAUGGUUGAGAAAUGAAGUUUUGGAGAUAAGAUUUCAAAUUUUGAAAAAUAAAAAAAUUAAAAUUU